UUCCAUGGCGGCUGUGCGCAGGGCGCCUUCGGGUGCGCCGGGUUGCCUUGGUUCCCGGUCGACCAGCCUGCGUACAGUUGCCACCCAU
rnacentral:antisense_RNA from 1 species